GCCUCGGUAGCUCGAUGGUUAGCGUGUGGAGCUAGCAACCCAGGGUUCCCGGUUCGUAACUCGGCUUGUGCA